CCCCCCCGAUGCUCCGAAGAGCCCCGGCAGCCCAUGGACUCCAAGCCCGUCUCACUUACUGGAAAUUGCGGCACGACGGCGCGAAGCGGCCACACGGCAGCACGUCUGCAGCGAUAUCCUUCACCGCCUCGAUGUCCCCACACAGGGCACCCACCGCCCCAUUCCUUGCACCGGGACCUGGAGUCCAAUUCCCAGAAUUCUUGGCACGCAGCAGGAGCGUCCCAGCAGCGGCCGACGCGGAAACCGACGCCGGGAAGGAGAGCCCGGGGCCUCUCCGCCCGUCCCCCGAGAGAUCCGUUUAUAUAUUUUGUUGUUUUUGUGUUUUUUAGUCCUUUCCCUCUCGCCAUGUGCCGGCUACGACGCGAUUUCCAUUUACUCGCACUCAGCUUGACACGCGGCGCAGCUCCCCGCGCGUUUCAUUCCCGAGAGAGACGCACGGCGGUUCCGGAGGGUUGACCCGCGACCGCCUGCUGGAAAAGACAACGGCGGAGUUGUUUACUGUAUGCUAAAGCAUGCUGUUCCUUAUUUCUUCUUCCAGCAUGAGGAAUUUUAUGGAGACUUUAGCUACACCGCAGCCCUGCUUGUGAAUUCGGAAAGCUACUGGCCCGGGAAGUGGACAGUGAAAAAAGACACAUACGUAAAAAAAACUUUAUCGAAGGAAUGUUUAUUAAAAGGGAAGACAAAAAACCCUUGACAUUUCACGUGUUUCGUGAUUCAUGUAACGCCGUCCAAUCACAGGAUUUGUGUUUGUCAUGAGGGGUUGUCGGUGUGACAUUCACAUUUCGAAAAAGCUUCCGACCCCGAAAUGUUUUUCUUUAACGUCAUUUUACCCUUCCUCGCAGUUUGGUUUCAACCUACAAAGGACCUAUUUGGAAUAUGCAAAGAAUGCAGGGGUGUCUGAGAGCUAUAGAAUAUACUGUGCCAAGAUUCAUAAUGUAGUUUUAAUCUGGGGAUUCAAACUAACAUUAGUUUUUCCAUUAAUCUAGUCACAUAGAUUAACUGUGUGCUUAUUCCCAUCUAUGUAUACUGCCAUUUAUCUUCUUUCUUGUUUUUUUUUUUUGUCUUUUUUAAAUGAAUUUAGGUACACGAAACAUGUCAUUUAUUUAUGGUCUUUUUUUAAUCUAGUUUGUAAAUUGUAAAAUAGAAAUAUAAGGAAAAAUAAAUGAGUGCCAAGUGCGUUGUAGCGAGA